rnacentral:tRNA from 1 species
UAUAUAGUGCCUGAUAAAAGGAUAGCUUUGAUAGAGCUAAUAAUGUGUCUAACCCUCACCUAUAUAA